GACGAACGCUGGCGGCGUGCCUAAUACAUGCAAGUCGAACGCAGUGGGGACGGGUGAGUAACACGUGGGUAACCUCCCAUCAGAGGGGAUAACACUUGGAAACAGGUGCUAAACCGAUACUGAUGGAUGGACCCGCGGUGCAUUAGCUAGUUGGUGGGGUAACGGCUCACCAAGGCCACGAUGCAUAGCCGGCCUGAGAGGGUGAACGGCCACACUGGGACUGAGACACGGCCCAGACUCCUACGGGAGGCAGCAGUGGGGAAUCUUCGGCAAGGGACGAAAGUCUGACCGAGCAACGCCGCGUGAGUGAAGAAGGUUUUCGGUUCGUAAAACUCUUUUGUAGGGGAGGCGGUAUCUAACCAGAAAGCCACGGCUAACUACGUGCCAGCCGCCGCGGUAAUAC
rnacentral:rRNA from 1 species